GAUGAACGCUGGCGGCGUGCCUAAUACAUGCAAGUCGAGCGAACAGACGAGGUUCUUGCUCCUCUGACGUUAUACGCGGACGGGUAACUAGUACGUGGCUAACCUAUCUAUUAGACUGAGAUUACUUCUAGAAACCGGAGCCAAUACCGGAUUAUAUAUUGAACCGCAUGGUUCUAUCUUUAGAGGCGGACUUUCUUUUACUUAUAGAUGGUUCCGCGCCGCCUUAUCUACUUGGUAAGGUAAUGGCUUACCAAGGCAACGAUGGGUAGCCGUCCCGAGAGUGAGAUCGUGCACAGCGAAACUGAGACACGGUCCAGACUCCGACGGGUGGGAGCAGUAGGAAAUCGUCCGCAAGGGGCGAAAGCCUGACGGUGAAGCGGCGCGUGAGUGAGGAAGGUCUUCGGAUCGGAAUACUCAGUUACUUGGGAAGAACAAAUGUGUAAGUAAUUAUGCGCGUCUUGACGGUACCUGAACAGAAAGCCACGGCUAACUACGUG
rnacentral:rRNA from 1 species